rnacentral:lncRNA from 1 species
GACUUUGAUACAAGUAUGCUAGAUUGUUAAACAUAAAAAUAUAAAAAAAUCAUUCCGGCUUAAGUUUUUGAAAAAAAUAAUUAUUUUAUAUUAUUUAACAUUAUAUUAAAUCAAAAGAUUAUGAGUUCGAGUCACACCACGCUCCUAACCUAAUUGAUUUUUCUCUCAAUUAAUUUAAGUCCGCAUCAAACUCAGACAUAAAGAAGAGUAUUCAAUAUAAAAANAAAAUUUGAAAUUUCAAAGUUAAAAAUUUUAAAUUUAAAAAUAUAUAUUUAAAAUUUUAAAAAUUUAAAUUCAAAUAUAGUAAAAGAAUAAUAUGAUUAUUUUUUAUUUAUAAAACACACUAUCUUUCUUAUUCCAUCUUACCUAACCAAACGUUAUUUUUUUUAUUCCCAGGAAUAACCCAAUUUUCAUCCAAACACAAAAUUGAUUUAAUCCCCACUUAUACCUCAAUUUAUACCUAUCCCUGGAAUAGCCACUUUUUUCUUAUCCUCGAACCAAACGAUACCUUAAAAUAUUUUGCACAUCUACUGUUAGAUGGUAAUUUAUUGCUUAAACCUAAUAUACAUGUACUACAUAUUUGUAUACUUAUUUAUUGACUCUGUACUGUCAUGUUAUUUCUACAUUGCCGCUUGUAGAUUUACAAUCGUUUUUUUUUUUUUUUUUUAGAAAUUAGAGUGUUGAAUUGAAAGUAUGAGAUGAAAGAUGGGUUGAUGAAUUUGUGGUGCACAAACAUACCUGUAACAUUUUCCAAGGUAUUGCUUUAGAAGGUAUUACUGUUCAUUAUUUUGAGGAAUAAUGUAUUUUAUUAUGAGAUAAUUUGUCUUUCCAUGAAAAAAUUGAUUUUCUAGGCUAGAAGUUUGCUNUUCGAGUCACACCACGCUCCUAACCUAAUUGAUUUUUCUCUCAAUUAAUUUAAGUCCGCAUCAAACUCAGACAUAAAGAAGAGUAUUCAAUAUAAAAACAUAAAACAUUAUUAUCUAUCAGCUUAAAUAUUUAGAGAAAACAGUUAUUUCGCGUUGUUUAAUAUAGAUUGAAGCUAAAUGCACAGCUAAACAAGUAGGGUGGGCAAGUCCAUUAAAAAUCUCUAAAUGCUGCAUGUAAGUCCUCUAAAACUUGCAAUUUACCAGUAACAAAAAGAGAUGUACCACGUGCAGGAGUAUGUAACACUAGGGCGUUUGGAUUGAUGAAUUUGUAGAUUCAACGUAAGUCAAGUGUAAUGGUGUUUGAGUUUCCCUGAAGUGUGAUUAUUUUUCUGUUGUUUGUUUUGACGUAACUCGUACCACUGAAAGUUAAAUUCAAUCACUUCU